rnacentral:misc_RNA from 1 species
AACUUUUGACAAUGGAUCUCUUGGUUCUGGCAUCGAUGAAGAACGCAGCGAAAUGCGAUAAGUAGUGUGAAUUGCAGAAUUCAGUGAAUCAUCGAAUCUUUGAACGCACAUUGCGCCCCUCGGUAUCCCGGGGGGCAUGCCUGUUCGAGCGUCAUUUCAACCACUCAAGCCUAGCUUGGUAUUGGGUAUCGUUGUGCUUUAACUCUUCUGUUAUUUCUCAGAGAGGGCAUCGUGCCUUAAAUGUAGACAGCGGCAAGUAUAAGUUCCGAGCGUAGCAGUAAAACAUUUCGCUUUAGGUAUUUUGUACAUUGUCAGCUAAAUAGUUAGCCAUACUAUCAUUUUGACCUCGGAUCAGGUAGGGAUACCCGCUGAACUUAAGCAUAUCAAUAAGCGGAGGCU